GGGCGGUUAGCUCAGUUGGUAGAGCGUCUCGUUGACGUCGAGAAGGUUCACAGGUUCGAGCCCUGUACCGCCCA
rnacentral:tRNA from 1 species